rnacentral:rRNA from 1 species
GGACUACUGGGGUAUCUAAUCCCGUUCGCUCCCCUGGCUUUCGCACCCGAGCGUCAGAUACUUCCCAGGAUGCUGCCUUCGCCUUUGGUGUUCUUCCAGAUCUCUACGCAUUUCACCACUCCACCUGGAAUUCCACAUCCCUCUGAAGCUCUCAAGUCUUGCAGUUUCCAGAGCACUUCCCCAGUUAAGCCGGGAACUGUCACCCCAGACUGACAAGACCGCCUGCGUGCGCUUUACGCCCAGUAACUCCGGACAACGCUUGCCUCCUACGUAUUACCGCGGCUGCUGGCAC